rnacentral:rRNA from 1 species
UCUCCUACGGGGGGCAGCAGUGGGGAAUAUUGGGCAAUGGGCGCAAGCCUGACCCAGCAACGCCGCGUGAAGGAAGAAGGCCCUCGGGUUGUAAACUUCUUUUGUCAGGGACGAAACAAAUGACGGUACCUGACGAAUAAGCCACGGCUAAUUACGUGCCAGCAGCCGCGGUAAUACGUAGGUGGCAAGCGUUAUCCGGAUUUAUUGGGUGUAAAAGGCGUGUAGGCGGGAGAGAAA